rfam:Propionibacterium acnes KPA171202, complete genome.
GAGCAACGACAGGGGAGCAUCGUCGGAUGCUGAGAGUGGGCACCGCCCAGACCCUCGAACCUGAACCGGUUAGGACCGGCGUAGGGAGUCGGGCUCUUCGCGCU